rnacentral:rRNA from 1 species
UACGAAGGGGGCUAGCGUUGCUCGGAAUCACUGGGCGUAAAGCGCACGUAGGCGGGUCUUUAAGUCAGGGGUGAAAUCCCGGAGCUCAACUCCGGAACUGCCUUUGAUACUGGAGAUCUUGAGUCCGGGAGAGGUGAGUGGAACUCCGAGUGUAGAGGUGAAAUUCGUAGAUAUUCGGAAGAACACCCGUGGCGAAAGCGGCCACCUAGCCCGCACCUGACGCUGAUGCGCGACAGCGUGGGGAGCGAACUGG